CAGAAACCACUGGACAAUAUGCGAAAGUCGGAAAAGUGAAGAAGAAACAAGGAAAGAAAGAAAAGAAAUUAAAAGAUGGAGAAUCGAGAACCAUUGCUGCUGUUGGGAGUGAUUUUCUGGUAAUACAUAUCAAGCAUAUUAAACGAGAAGAGUGAUGUUUAUAGCUUUGGGGUUGUAUUGUUGGAGAUUAUUACAGGUCGACCUGCCAUUUAUAAAUUUCAUCAUGACCAGAACAUUCAAGUUAGUGAUUGGAUUAGUUCCAUACUUAGAGGGAAAUUUUGAUAUAAACCAAGGCCUCGAAAGCUGUUGAAUUAGCAAUCAAUUUAGUGUCUUCUAAAUCCAGCCAAAGGCCAUCCAUGAGCCGAGUAGUGAUUGAACUAAAGGAGUGUUUGGAUAAAAGAAUUGCUUCGACGAAGGAGAGUGGCGAUAUUGAUUGGAAAGAGUCCAUUGAAACGCGGCCUUUAAAUUCAAUCAUUCGGUUAAGUCUCUCAGCCGGAUAGGAUUUGUAGCUGUGUAUGAAGCACGCGUUUUGUACUGAAACCUAUUAAGCAGACCACAAGUUAUAGACAGCAUCUAGCGAGUAUCAAUUCCAUCAUAUACAUACAGUUUUGGUGUAACAGCCUAGACCAUCCGUAUGCGAUAUUGUUCACUUUGGACCCAGUCCGCACGGUUUUGUCAAAACGCAUCGCAGUGGUUAGGGAUCCCACCCCUUCACCUGUCAGUCCCAUUGGCUUGGGCCCCAGACCCAACCGAGAUAUUGUCCGCUUUGGAAGCUAGGUGGUGAGCCUAAUCCUACCUCUCACGGUUUUACUUUCCCUCAUGGGAACGCAUCGCUAUGGUUGAGGGGUCCCACCCACUCCACCAACCACCGAUAUUGUCCUCUUUAGGCGAGGAAGCAUACCUCAAAGGUUUGUUCUUUCCCAGGAAGGCGUCGUAAGGGAAAGGUAUCCACACCACCUUAUAUGGCAUAUUUCGUUCUCCUUUCCAACCGAUAUGGGACUUCACAUUAGGGGGGGCAUAAAUGCUCAUUUCAGUAUCUUUAGACAAUAUUUCCUUCAUGCCUCCAAGUGCCAAAACCUUAUAAAGUCUAGCUUACAUUAUUGUUUUGUGAUACCAAUUUGUUGAAUACUUACAGUAACAAAAUGCAAGAGCUGGGAUUUGUAAAGAAAACAAAUUGAAGGGAAAGGA